rnacentral:rRNA from 1 species
GAAGGCCCUAGGGUUGUAAAGCACUUUAAGCAGGGAGAAAAAGAUUGUAGUUAAUACCUGCAAUCCUUGAUGUUACUUACAGAAUAAGGACCGGCUAAUUCCGUGCCAGCAGCCGCGGUAAUACGGAAGGUCCAAGCGUUAAUCGGAAUUACUGGGCGUAAAGCGCGCGUAGGUGGUUUUUUAAGUUGGAUGUGAAAGCCCUGGCUCAACCUAGGAACUGCAUCCAAAACUAGAUGACUAGAGUACGUAAGAGGGAAGUAGAAUUCACAGUGUAGCGGUGGAAUGCGUAGAUAUUGUGAAGAAUACCAAUGGCGAAGGCAGCUUCCUGGUUCUGUACUGACACUAAGGUGCGAAAGCGUGGGUAGCGAACAGGAUUAGAUACCCUGGUAGUCCACGCCGUAAACGAUGACAACUAGCUGUUGGGAGACAAGAUCUUUCAGUGGCGCAGCUAACGCUU